rnacentral:lncRNA from 1 species
CAUCAAUCGCUCAUUAUUGCCAUGCAGCUGCAUGACUUAUUGUGUUGUUUGCAUGUUGUCCACAAAUUAAACGUGACACUUACAUACUACUGUCAUAUUUCUUUCUUCACGAACCAUAUUACUUUUCCUACAAAACCCAGCCGGAUCAGUCCGUUUUCUACGUUAUAUAUAUCUCCGAGCCAGCGUUGAGUUCUUUCAAACAUGCAUGCACGUAUGUGAUUUAUUAACUUUUUUAAUCUAGAGCAUGCGACACAUGUGUCGAGUCUUCCUGUGAGAUUGAAACUAACUUGAAGUAAAAAAAAAUGCCCUCUCUUACAAUAAAGCAUGGGACAUGCAUAUAAAUUGUGGACAUCCUUAUUUGAUUGGAAAAUAGGACUGGUGGGAAGUGAUGUGGGUGUAACAGCAGAGCUAGAAAUUGGGGGCUUGAGGAACAGUAGAUAUCAUGGAGAAUGCGAAAAGACUGUGAUGUUUCCUGGAACAUCGUCCACACCAGCAUAUCAUUGGAGUCGGUCAUUCAGCUGCAGUUUGCGAAAAGGAAGUUGAAUGUCUUCCUUGCUGUGCUUUUCUAUGGCGUGGUGAAGAGUGUUCCACCAGUCCAGUUAACAAAGCUUACUGUGGAGGGACAUAUAUGGAUGCCAAGUAAUUUUAGGAGCUGCAUGUGCACCACGCAGAAUGUGUAGAGUGGAUCUUAUUCAGUGGUCAUGCACCAUGUAGAGUUCUAGUAAGGAUGAGCGGCAUCUGGAAUUUCUUCUGGUCAUGUCAUUUCUGUCCCACUGGUGUCCCCCAUGUUUGAUGCAGUCAAAUAACAAUUAUAGCAUCGCCUACAAGGUCAUUCACGGCAGUCUGGUGGGAUUAGUCGGAAUAUCUCAGAUUGUGUGGAUGCAAUCCUUUCAUGCCAAUCUGAUGGACCUGAUGGAAAGUUCAGAGCUAAGAAGGCCCAGCGAUCAGGUUGCUAGGCAUGACCAGUUAGAAUUUGGGGUCAGUGUGCUGCCGUGUGUGGGAGGGAGAAGUGUGGCUUCCUGCAUGCAUGUGUUAGACACAAUGGAGAGAACCGUCCUGAACAUGUAAACCAAAUCAGAACUGCCGCUGAACUCAAUCUAUCCCCCAAUUCCUCUGCUCAUUAUUUCUCUUCAUCUAAGCGAUUCACACAAGACAUGUUACCUGUACGAUAUUCAGUACCUUCUGACAGGUAAUCAAACACAUGUAUGUCUAAUAAUUAUGAGCCAUGUUGUCUCUCAGGCCUUAGGCCAAAGCAUGUAUGAUUUGUUCCCACAUUAUUUGAAUUCCUUCUAAAAGGAGAAAUUUAAAAGUAAAAAACUAAUCAGUUCCGUGCAUGCAGCCGAUAGAUGGACAAGGACCACCCCAUCUUGUCGAGGCUCACAUUACCCUUUAGUCACCAGAUCAUGCACUGCGAGCAUUGACAGGAAAAUAAAUUGUUAAUUUUUUAUCUGAGGUCAAAUGAAACUUUUUAUGAAAUUGUGUAACUCAAUGAAAUCAACAAAUAUAUAGUUGACACUAUUUUUAUUUGAGACAUCUUACAUGAUGAAAUACUACAUAUUACGCUCUUAAAUCUAUUUAACAUCCUGCUGUUUGGGGUUGCAGAUUCCUAUCUGGUGUCAACAGAGGGGUGUGUAUAACUACACACAUUACUAAACAGGGUAGCUUUCAGAUCCCCGCUGUCAGUGUGAACACAUGAGCAUAUAACUACAGACAUUAUUACAGAGCAGUUUUCGGUCCCCACUGAAAUUCACUAUUAAUCACAUUAUAAUGGGUCCUUGUCCCUAAGGUAGGCUGAAGGAAUGGCUAACUCUGAUUUCACGACUCCAGGCUAUAUAUUUGCACUGCCUCAUCAUUCUCAUAGCCAUGUUGCUUCCACACACCGUCAAUACAAAUAGCCACCCCAUGAACUGACCAAUUGACCAUGAGUGCUUCAUAGUUGUGGUCAUUACGUUAAUUUUAUUCUUCUCAAUCAAAUAUACAGUGAUUCCCGUGCAAGGAACGAUAGGAAUGGCAGGCAUCAAGAAUGUGGUGGGGUCGUGGCCUGGUGGAAGAACAAAGCAGAAGUUCCAUGCUCGGGUCCACGUUGGAUGAAGACUCACGUAGUUGCUCUCUUUUUUUCGAAAGAUCCGUUACCGGCUUUCAUUGAUAAGAGCGAAGUUGAAUUACAGACAUGAUUACAAUAUGGGGCUUAUAGUGGCACAAGCUGCGCCCGCCCCAACCACCAUUUUUGCUUGGGGACGUAGUUGCUCUCAAUCUCUACAUUAAUUAAUAUGCGAAUACCUUCAGUAGUGUGAGGGCCUUCUAUGAAGUUACUAGAUUUGGCUUAUGCAUACCGUGACUGGGAAUAAUAUACGAAUGUACCUUGCAGAUGUUUAUUGCUUCAGUAAUAUCGCUAGGCUUCUAGUGAACGUGCAAGUCAUACAAACCUAAGAGAAAUUACAAACCUAAGAUUAAUUGAAAGAUCAUGGCCCGUCGUCAGAUAAGCAAACAAGCACAUGUCCUAUGGUGGUUGGCCUUUAACUUAGGUGUUGAAGUUGGCCACUGACUUUUGUGUUGAACUGCACAUGUUCAUUUUUGCAAUCCAUGUGUACAUACAUAUAUACACCUCGAAACAACAAAAUUCAAGAUGUAGAUGAUGCGAUCAGUCCACUGUCGGUUAGAGGAUAAAUGUCUAGACCUACAAAUAUAUAUGGAAGCCUCAACUUGUGUGUCGCUUUGGACAUGCCUCAAUGCCAUAAUAAUUCCUAUAUAUCUAGGCAUAGCCACCAACGUGCACGCUCUGGCAGGAGGCAGGUAUGUGGUUUGAAAUCAGUGCAGACAGUCUAGCAAGAUCUCGAUCCUUGUUGGUUAGCUCUGUAUCACUGGUGUUCCUGCUAAGGAUGGGAGUCAUCUCGAAAUUGAUGUGGUGUGUGUUCUCAGCACAAAGCAGUACAGACAGUCGCUCAACUGCCAUGAAUCGAACAGUCAUGAUCAGUUGACAAGCUGGCAAUGCUAGGUGACUACGCGCAUGCUGCAACUAGUUGAUUGCAGGUACCACAGCCUUCAUUGGAUGGAACACAAGUGCAGUAACUGCAGAAGACAUUAAGUUCUAGAUUUUAAUUCCCAACUGGAGCAUAGGUGUACUGGAUCCUUUACAAUUCUAUGUUGGCGAUUUUUUUCACAUGCAUAAAUGCAUCCUAAUAAUAAUACAAAUGUGACCUCCUUGUUCCUAUAGCUCCAAAGGAACAUAAUAAUAUCAUAUAAACUAGCUACAUCCUCCGAAUUACAAAACUUUUUGAAAAUAUAUCUGCCCUAGCUACAAACUUUGUGAUUCACAAGAUCUUCCGACUCAAUCCUUCGGUGGUACUCAGAUGGAUGGGUAGGGUGUGCGUGCAUUAUUGUGGGUGUCUGCAUUAUACUAUAUAUGUAAUUAUUCUUAAGAAAUACCCAUACCUACAUCUUCUAGUUAAAAUAUAAAAACCUUUAAUAUUUUAUUAUUUCAUUUCCACACCGUGUGUGUCCUUGUCCUUCCUAUAUUAUAUAUAUCAAAGCUCUGUGCUAGCCUGAUAUAGUCGCUGCAGCUACAUAGAUCAAAUAUCCAGUACUCCCUUAUAAGAAUGGGAGGCAUGUGGGAUUAUGUGUGGCCUGGGAGAGCUUGUUUAUGGAGAACAUCAAUCCAGGUUCAUAGCUGCAUUCGAUGCUGUCGCACCAUUGCCACCUUUGUCUGCUUAACAACAACAUUUAUUAAGCACUGUGUCGGAACCAUGUGUGGGCAUCCCUAAAGACUUGAUCGUGAAAAUGAAGUCUGAUGCUGCGCCAGAAAGUAUAAUCGAACGAGGUUCGGUCCUGAUGACUUCUAGCCCUACGCAGUUCUGAAUUCAUUGAUGCAAGUGCUAUAGACCUAAUCAAAUCAGUUCCUUUUCCAGUAUGCCUAUCCACCUAAGCAAUUGGCCCUUAUAUCAGGUUCCUUGGGAAUUGCUCGCACGAGAGAAUUUGAGGCAUCCAUGGCUUCGCCGUGCGCAAACACGUGGCUAUGGCUUUGAUUGUUUUGCAUUAAACCCAUCCAUGUUUCAUAAAACCAACAUGUAGUCCAUCCAACUGGGCAUGAACAGUAAACACAAUCACAACUGUUAUGUAUAGACCCUUAGUUAACGUCAAGAAGACAAAAUUUGAGAUCUACGUGAUUUUUACAGAAACUAACCCGUAUAAUUUUGCGGCGGACACGACGCUACCAUCCCAAGCGACCUAGCUCGCCAUCGAAUUCUCUCCGUUCUCUCUCUUCAACGCCAACGCCACACGAGACGAGGCAUGCGCGGUUGCAAGAUACCGACGUAUGCAACCAAGGAGGCGUCUCUACGAACAUAUACAACCUCUUGAAUUCACAACGUAUUUUUGGAGAAUAUCACUGUGGACUGCCUCUGUAAGUACAAGGUAUUGACUCCAAAACUUGUUUUUGUGGUAGUUGUACUAAACAGUCUGUAAGCAGCCCAUGUGACCUAUUAUCUCUAUCUCUUCCAUGUGGCCUAUCAAUUGGUGGCCUACUCUAGCACAUCUCUUUCUCUCUCUGUGUACAUCCUCGGAUGUAGAGGCCGGAUAUUUAUAUCCAUUAUCUAAAAAAAUCUCUUUCUCUCUCUCUAGGGAAAAAGGCGCCUCCGAUCCCAAUGACGACUCCCUUUCUCUUCCACCCUGCCUCUAUCCAUUUAAUUCCCGGGUGGCCACCUCUCUAUCGGAGAUUAAGAUAUCUUGCACUGUGACUCCUAUAUAUAUUACCACAGCCUCCACCCCACACACUCAUGACCGUGCCUGGGGUCUGGUACAAGAUAACGUGGCCCUGCUAGUAUGUGAGCGUUCAUGUGGCAUGGAAGAAGCACCUCUGGGCAGCACGAGCAGUUGAAAUGGGAGGUAUCUGGAAAUUGUUCUGGUGCGUCAAGUCUGUCCGCAGCACAUCUCUAACAUUGAUAGGUACACGAGUGCAUGCAGCUUGGAAUAGUUCUGUUAAUUUACUCAAGCACUAGGGUUGUAUAGGCACUAGCAGCACUAGUACACAAAUGCUCUAAGCCGGCGGGGGCAAAAACUUUGCACAGGCGGUUUUAGUUAUAACGCGCCUGUGUUGUAAAUUUGUAUGGCAAGAAUUAAAAACCGUC